rnacentral:rRNA from 1 species
UACGUAGGGGGCAAACGUUGUCCGGAUUUAUUGGGCGUAAAGAGCGUGUAGGCGGCUUUACAGGUCCGUUGUGAAAACUCGAGGCUCAACCUCGAGACGCCGGUGGAAACCGUAAAGCUAGAGUCCGGAAGAGGAGAGUGGAAUUCCUGGUGUAGCGGUGAAAUGCGCAGAUAUCAGGAAGAACACCCGUGGCGAAGGCGGCUCUCUGGGACGGUACUGACGCUGAGACGCGAAAGCGUGGGGAGCGAACAGG